AGAAGACAUAAUCAAAAUUACAAAGAUGGAAUCUCAUGAAGCUUCAUUUACAGAACUUGGCUUACGAAAGAAGACGAGUUCGUGACCUUUCUUUUUGCAUUGGAAAGGUCCUUGGAAGUUGUUGGAACUCAAAUCAAAGGCUGCUAAAUUUUGGGAACAUAGGUUUUGAGGUAAUGUAUCUUUGAUUCUGUUCUUUUCUAGACAAUGUUGAUUCCAUUGAUUAUGUGUGGUAUUUUAUCCGUAAUCCCAGUGUUCAUGAGUGUGACUGAGAUGAGUUUGUUUGUGAAAAUUUGUGGGGUUUUUUUUUUAGUUUCAGGAAGGUGUUUCAAACUUUCAGGAUAGCUUUUCAGAAAAUCGGAUACUAGAAAAUUUGAAAAAAAUUUUGGCUUGGUUACGCCGUACAGAAACGCGAUGGGAGAUUCAAUACCUGUCAUGCUAAGACUAUGCUUUUGAAUAUUGAUGUUGACUUGGACAAGUAAGAAGUUGUAUUGAAUGAUGACGACAUUUGUUUCAUUUAGGUUGUUAUUAAAGAAAUUUUAGGAUGUCUUGAAGCAUUGUCAGUAAUUCUAUCAAGAAAGUGUUAAAAUUUGUUAUCAUUGUAAAACACAUAUCCUAUCUAGGAUAUCUUAUGGUACUUUUUGGAUGGGUUUCCAGGAAAUAAAUGAGUAAGCAUAAGCCUUUACUUCAAAAAUGAAUUAAUUGUGAAUGUACCAGGAUUGAACUCCAAAACUCUCGUAAAUGGAAUUCAAUCCUAGUGUGCAGCCGCUACGCCAAGAGUGUUAUACUUGCCAAGUGUUAUAAUUAAAUCAAUAUAAACAACAUAUUUAUAUUUAAUUAAAACCAGAAAAAAAAAAUUUGUUUCCAAAAGAAAUCGAAUGCGUGUUUAAUGUGCAAUACGAGUUGUGUAAGAGUAGAGGGCUAGCUGCUAGGCUACGGUGUAUAUUUGUUUUGUAAAGAUAUGUGAACUUAUUUAUUCACAUAUAUUAUCUAAGAUACCAUUGGUGAUAUUCAGGAUGGGUUUCCAAAAAUCGAAUAUGAAAAUGAGAUUACCAAGAUACAAGACCACUAAGCCAAUGUAUGAUAUCUCAAAAUGAGUAAGCUUUUAAAAGCAAUAUAAGAAAUUCUCUUGCUGAUUGAUACACAAAUUAAAAAAAUGUUCAGAUUCCAUUAAGGAAAAAGUGACCAUAAAAUAUGAUGUGGGUUUCCUAAUACAUAAAUAUUAGUCUUAAACAUAAGAGGGAAAUUGAUAACAUCAGAUUAAUCAUCCAUCCAACAUUUCAAGCUCUGGCCAGUCAAUUAAUUUAACCUUGACAUUAGCCAAGUUUCAUUCGGCUUCAAUGUGCUCUGCUGCUAGUUUUUCCAACUCAGUAACAAAGUCAAAGUUUUCAGCUUUGAUAAUGACAUCAAGCAAAUCAAUUCGCGAAGAAAUAUAUUUUACUUUGCUCGAAGCGUCAUUCCAUUCAGAUUCAGAUUGCGUUUGUUCCUUGACCAAGCGGAGAAUCGACCUAUAAUGCUCCUCGGUUUCCUUUUUCUCUUUGUUAACCAUAACUUUUAUAUUAUAAACGUUGGAAAGAACUUUUGGAAUUUUUGGAUGGGUUUCCAGAAUAGUAGAAUACAAGUAUGUUUCUUUCUAGCAAAGAAGUUUAACUUAAAAAAAUGAAAUGAGAUCAACAACUAAGGAUUGAUAUCUUCAUAUUUGGGAAAUUUCAAAUUGUGAUUUGGAAUUUUGGAGAAAAAAAAAAGAACAAAAUAUACAUCUACCAGGAUUCGAACACGAGAUCUCUGGGAAAAGGGGGGGGGGAAUAAAGUGUUGCCACUAGGCCAAGUGUGUUUCAAUUGUUUGUUGAUGUAAGCAAAUGAAUAUAAUCCAUUGAUUUUUAUUCAAUUAUAAAAAUAAAAGCGAUCCGAUACCGAAGGGAAUCGAACGCGGGAUGAGGCAAGUGUUUCAGUUUCGUAAGAGAGAUGGUUUAGCCGCUAGGCUGAGGAGAAUCAUCUGGUAGAAGCUAAAAAUGUAUUUAACCGUAAAUUUUAUAUUAUAAACGUACGAAAGAACUUUGGAAUUUCUGGAUGGGUUUCGAGAAUAGUUGAAUAUUAGUGUGUUUUUUCUAACAAAGAAGUUUAAACUAAA